rnacentral:rRNA from 1 species
AGCAGCCGCGGUAAUUCCAGCUCCAAUAGCGUAUAUUAAAGUUGUUGCAGUUAAAAAGCUCGUAGUUGAAUUUCGGGGUUAGUAGGUUGGUCAUGCCUCUGGUAUGUACUGGUCUCACUGAUUCCUCCUUCCUGAUGAGCCGUAAUGCCAUUAAUUUGGUGUUGCGGGGAAUUUGGACUGUUACUUUGAAAAAAUUAGAGUGUUUAAAGCAGGCUCACGCUUGAAUACAUUAGCAUGGAAUAAUGAAAUAGGACGUUUGAUCCUAUUUUGUUGGCUUCUAGGAUUGACGUAAUGAUUAAUAGGGAUAGUUGGGGGCAUUAGUAUUCAAUUGUCAGAGGUGAAAUUCUCGGAUUUAUUGAGGACUAACUACUGCGAAAGCAUUUGCCAAGGAUGUUUUCAUUAAUCAAGAACGAAAGUUAGGGGAUCGAAGACGAUCAGAUACCGUCGUAGUCUUAACCAUAAACUAUGCCGACUAGGAAUCAGACGAUGUUAAUUUUUUAAUGACUCGUUUGG